rnacentral:lncRNA from 1 species
CUAGAUGCCACCGCCGACGGAUACUACUACAUGAAGGCCGCCGAAGACCAGGAGUAGUUAGGAGGUCCCAGGCAGGAGGCCUUGCCUCUUCGAUCGUGUUGCUUUUGUGCUAGCCUUCUUAAGGCAUCCUUGUUAACCUUAUGUCUGUACUCAGAUAUUGUUGCUUCCGCUGACUCUAGCGUAUCGAGCUAUGUAUUCGAGCCCUCGCGGCCCCUGGCUUGUAAUAUAAAGCUUGUAUUGUUUUAUUUAUUGUCUAGAGUUGUGUUGUGAUAUCUUCCAGUGAGUCCCUGAUCUUGAUCGUACACAUUUGCGUGUAUGAUUAGUGUAAGAUUGAAUCGGGGGCGUCACAAGUUGGUAUUAGAGCUGACUGCCUAUAGGAUCCCCCUUUCCAACUCCUUGGCCGAAGUUGAGUCUAGUGUUUGAAAAACUAUUUUACUAACAUGGAUUUGUGGCUUAUGGGCCCACGUCACCAUUGGGUGGUAUUGGGAUCUUUUACUCCUCGACUAUACUUUGGGACUCUAAUCUCUCUUCUAUUCGGGUUAAAUGGUUUUGUUAACUCUAACUCUAGGUUCUCGUAAAUACUUUCUCCCGGAGAGCCCCUCACUCUAGAUGAAUGCUUGGUGCACCAGAAGAUUCUGAAGUUACUCUCCGAUGUUUUCCCGAAACCCUUGUGCCCUUCGCCGUUGCAAUCCCUACCAUCGAUAAAUUCUUAUGGGUAACUACCUACAUUGUCGUUCAUACCUUCAUCCCUAGUUGCUCUUAUUAUUACAAGAUGUCCUGAAAUACUCUCCGAUGUUUCGAGAAACCUUUAUGCUUACUGCCCUACAGUUCCUUUCCGCAUGAAUACCCCUACGAAUAAUUACUCGCCCAUGCCGAGUAUCUGUUCGUCCAUAGUUGUUCAUGUGUUUCACAACAUUCUUCGGAAUGCAAUUCGAUCUUUCGAAAGUCCUCAGUAGCCUAUUACUCUUGUUCCUCCUUACCUUCUUACAUUAUGGUUACUUCCAUUUGUCUAGCAAUAUUCAUUAAAAUCCUUUGCGAUUGGCAUCCUUACCUUAUUGUUUCACCAUGUGUGUGAAUGCACGCAAUCAUCAAUUGUUCCCUGGAAUUGUCCUUCCGGCUCAGACGUCACCCUGGACACGAGCUGGUGUUCGACAAAUCAAACCUUGAUUGAUUUUCAAUCUAUGUCUAUUCAACUUAGUUGUCUUUGAUCAAAGCCUCUGCUUUUGAUCCCCCGUUUUGAAAAUCAUAAUCCCCUUUGCAUUCGAGCAUAGAAUUAGUCAGUUGUUUCUAUAACCUGACCUCCUUAAAUUCUUUCUUCUUCUGGUUGAGUACUGAUACUCACAUCAGAUCCAUUGUGGACCUCCAGGUCCUUUGUUGGGUUUUAUCCGACAGCAUCCUUCAUAUUUAGUAACCUUGUGAGCCUUUCCUCGGAUACACAAUGCUUUUGGUAAAUUGUAUCCCCCACUCUCGUCAACCAUACUCUGCUUUCAAGCUUGAGUUAUUUACUCGUGAAGUUUGUGGUAUAUGUUUCUAGUAAAUCCCUAUGGGUUGAAUCUAUGUCGUCCCUAAAUCUGUGUGAACCCUACGACUCAUACUCUACUUGUGUUAUGCCAGAUAAAAUCUCAAUAGUACGGCUUCGUUGAAAACUAGAAGUGACUGAAAGGUUAUACAUUGAAGAAGUGGGAGUCGACCUUGAACUUUGUGUUCAUGCCCAUGAACACGAUGUAGAUCCUAUCAUGGAAGCUUGUCAUUAUAAUAAUAAUCUCCUUGUUAUAAGUUCAUCUCGUAUCUAUAUUUGGUCCUUUGCAACCGUGAUUCCGACCAUAUUGCUCUUCUUUGAUCCCCUUUCUAGGACAAGUUGAAUUACUUGUCUUCUGCAGACCAUUUCACCCGUCCAACCUCUGUUCUGCUAUACCCUUGAGUAUUACCCUCUGGUAUCUCGAGAUUAUCACGGAACUACAUAACGUCUUACGAGUUCUUCAUGAACUAUUAAUUCUCGCUGAUUCCAAGUUUCUACGGGUUCUGAGAUGUUAAUCACUCGAUAACACCGAUAACUGAUUCGAGUCUACACUUUUCUUUCCAUUGUUUUGUUUAACCUUUCUUGUAACCUAAGAAAUCUGAGCAGUGAUAAUUCCCUGCUUAUGUAAACACCUCGGUGUACAAACUCUGUCAGUAAGACCUUGUUAUUAUUGUUGAUGACAUUCCGGUAGCCAUCGAUGGACGAGUACUUUGCCUAUUGGUCCGCCUUGUUUUAACGAGCAAGAAAAUGGUUCUCUUCGUCCCUCGCCCUUGGUACCAACGUUGUUGCCAACAUAACUGAUAGGCUAUCCUCUGACACACCUUGCUAUCAUGAUCGUGCAAAUGUUAGCACCCUUUCAGCUUUUAAACCCACAUGGUGGGCCCAUAACCCAUAGUUCCACAUGGUCGAAACCAGAACCUCCUACACAUCCCUGUUUUCUAAGUUAUUCCUCAUGCUUGGCUUCAUAUGUAAUUCACGAGCCACAUUCCUAGUGAUCUUUUUUGGUAUUAGAUGCAAUACUUCUUCUCGAUGCUCUAAACCCCCUUUCACCCUAUGUUUCAGGAAACGAACCGUUGCCUACCCGCUUGAAACUUCUUAUUGCACCUUCUUACCUUGCUCUCGAUGAAUUUCUUGAAUUUUGACUCGAGAGGUGCCUCUAUGCCAUGUUCACUGAGAUAGCCCCCAGGUACCUAUCUUGUGUUGAGCCCCGUCCUUCCCGAGUCUUUCCCCCUUACCCCACCUCUUAAAUCUCGGAACGAGAUUUCUUGUAGUGGAGGAGAAUUGUGACGCCCGGAUAAUUAAGCCAAAGUAAUCCCCUGUUAAUGGUGCCAUGUCAUCACAUUAUUGUUGCUAAUCCUCACUUGAUCCAAAUCACAAUUCAAAUUCAAGUUCUAUGUGAAAUUCUAAAUUUCUUCAAUCGGUGAAACAAAAAUGUUCGAGAUGUUGCUAAUAUUCACUAAAUAAUUGUCGGGUAGAAACCAACAUCUUUGACCCACCAUUUAAUCCCUAGUAAAAUGUAAAGUGGUCCAACGGCAACAAAAAUAUCUUUUUUAAACUAAGCAAAUGUUUGUGUAUUUCCAUUUGACUUGAAACCUUGAGGGCCUCUCUCAAUUAAUGACUAAUAUUUAUGUGCCAAUUUUAUAGUCAGAAAAAUUCAAUUGGUAUUUGUUUCGAACGCAAAUCAGUAGAGAAAAUAGAAAGCAGAAAUAUAAAAGGGGAAAAGGCCUAACUACUACUAGUCUGCACUGAAGCCUGUUGCUACAGUAAACGACCCACCCCACGCAGGCCUUCUUCUACCCUCGCUACAAGACAACAGGAGGGGCAGGGAGGUCGUGGCGCACAUCCAGGCCGCCAUGGCCGUGGAUGGCCACCACGUCGCCCCCGGCCUAUAUAAAAUGUCCCCCGACAACCCUAGCUCACCCUUGACCAGUACCCCCCUCGAUCCCCCUUCGCCCCUCUCCUCUUUGCCUCAAUUUCGAACUCAGAUUUGGUGCGGUGGCCGCUUCCUCACCGUCGUUACCAUGGCCACCGUCGUCGCCAUCGCUUCGGAGCACGUCUACGAGGUCCACCAUGGUCAUCUUCAUUCGUCCUGGGCUCGAGCUCAAGCCGGGGCGGCCUGUACCCUCGCCAUCGCCAUCAUCUGCAUCGUGUACAUCACCGGCGUUUGUCGUCGAUUCUCACAGUUCCGGUCCACCCCAACACUCUCCAACCUCGUCCUCGGCUCCACGGUGAGCCUCUCCUUCGGAUCCCCCCUGUAGCCCCCUCGAUCCAUCGCCGUCGUAGUCGUGCUCGCCUAGGCCGCCAUGGUCGGCGCUCUCGCCGGCGCCCGCACACCCUGGCGCUCACCGCGCCGUUGACCGUGUCUCCGCGCGCGCCCGCCCGUGCUACACCUUGCCCCGGUCUUUCCCUACAGCGUGUGCGCCCACUCCUCGCCCGCGCGCUAGCCCUCUGCCGCGCUCCCUGCCCGUUCCUGUCGCGCUGCUCCGCUGAUGCUUGCAGCCGCUGUCGUUUACUGCUGCUAUCUACUUCUGCUGCUAGUCGCUCCGGCUACCUACGGCUGCCGCUUUGCUGCUUGCUGAUGCUGCUCUUCCUCCUGCCUAGCUGCUGCCCUCCGCCACUGCCGCCGGAUGCUACUGCUGCUGGCCACGGCCAUGGCCGUGUGUGUGUGUGUGCGCGCGCGCGCGCGCGCCUGUCUGUGUGUGUGCUGUGUGCUGUGUGUGCGUGAGUGUUUGGGUGUGUGGCCGGCUGGACACUGUUCAGUACGGCCAGCCCUAAUGCUAAUUAGUAGUACUAAUUAGGUUAGCUAGGUUAGUUGAAUAAUUAGUCUAAUGUAGGUAUGACAUGUGGCCCCCACUUCUAAUCAAUCUAAUUUAAUUAAAGUCUAACUAAGUCUAGUCACUGACAGGUGGACCCCAGUUACCUUUUGACUAGUCAGUUUGACUUGGUUAAUUCGGAUUAAAAUGAAUGCACAAUUCCAGAAAUUUUAGAUUAUUGAUAAAACUUUGGAAAUUCAUAUAAAAUAAACCGUAGCUCGGAUGAAAAAGUUUUCUACAUGAAAGUUGCUCAGAACAACGAGACCAAUCCGAACACGCGAUCCGUUCGUCCGCCACACGUCCCUAGCAUAGCGAACAUGCAACCUUUCUCAUCUGGUUCAUCUGUUUGAAAGAUGUCCGGAACCGGGAAAACUUUCCUGGAUGUUGUCCCCCUUUACCGGUAUUGUGUAGCACCGCGUUAGAACACGUCUAGCUAUGCCUGUUGUCCUGUUAUGCUCUUGCUUGCUAUGUAUUUACUAUUUUCUCCCCCCUCUUCUCUUCGGUAGACCCCGUGACGGCUGCCGAUGCUGCUGUGAUCGACUACGUCGACGACGACCCCUCCUUCCCACCUGAGCAACCAGGCAAGCCCUACCUUCGAUCAUCCCGAUAUCGCCCAUUCUAUACUCUCAUGCUUGCAUUAGAUUUUCCUACUGUUAUUGUUUGCUCCUAUUUUGAUGCAUAGCCUGCUUUUGUACCUACUUAUUGUUACUUACUGCUUAUCCUAAACUGCUUAGUAUAGGUUGGUUAGUGAUCCAUCAAUGACCCCAACCUUGUCCUUGUUGCCCCUGCUUCAUCAUCGACGCCUCGAUCAACCUGAUCGACGACCAGAGCUUGACACCUCACAUCACAUCACGCCCCUUUAGUUGCUUUACUCUGCAGAGCUACUAUCGAGUGCCGAGUGUGAUCCCUCAUAACGCAUUGCUGAUGAUAAUUUUGUAGUGUAGCUAUUCGGUCGUGGUCAUCGAGGGUGGUUCCUCUUUCACCAUUCCCGAUACGGCUCUGUCGUGCAACACCUCAAGUGUGAACCUCGAGGGUGGAUCCUGUUACGUUCACCUUGAUGGUUACAUCGAGUGGAACCCUCCGUGGGUGAUUCCUCGGGUUUUCCCCUUGAUGUUUGGACACACGGUUACAAUGACUUUACUUGAGACAUUGGUGAAAGUCAGGCGGGCUCGGAGAGCACCCGCAAGAAAAUGACGUGGCACGGUCGGGCAUUCUGGGCUCUUGUCAUAAGUCCACGAGACAGGGCGACGGGGUCACUUCGAUCGUGAGUCUCUGCUCGUCUCCGCAAGCUAAUAAUACACUAUGGUUUGGGUAUUUGUUCUGAGUUGGCCUCUGGCCUUUACGCACCAACCACCAUGCGAUAAUAGUUAUGGGCCUCGGCGUCGUGGUAUCAGCUGAAGCUUUGUUAGACAUCCAGUUCAGCAGUGCGGCACGGCUGGGCCGGCACCAUCCUGUAGUGGUGGAGCCUGGACCCGCCCUGCGUGCAACGACCCGGAGUGCAACGGGCGAUGGGCCGAGACCCCAGAGUGCUUAGGAGGUAGACCGGCGGGGACCUCUCUGCUGAGCCUAGGUAGGGCUGCGAUGUGUUGAUCUUCCGAGGCCGGGCAUUGAUCCCAGAAAGGUGUGUCCGGCCAGAGUGAUCGAGCGUGUUGGAAAACGUGGUGCACCCCUGCAAGGAAGAUUAUCUAUUAAUAGCCGUGUCCAUGGUAACGGACGUUCAGACUUAUAUCCUGAUCUUAUACAACUACAAAUGGAUACUUGAGAUAUGUGGCUCCGAGAUUGCUUUCUCGCAGGGAGUCGAGGAAGGAUCUUUGGGCAUUAAUGUUACAACAUGCUUCUUAAUUAUAAAAUGCUAUUGUUUACUCUUCUACAUGCCGCAAGAUGCUUGGAGCUGCUUGAAGAUGCUAGUCUUCGAUAGGCUAGGCCUUCCCCUCUAUUCUGGAUUCUGCAGUUCAGUCCACAGAUACGUCCCUUUCAUUUGAUACCAAUGCAUACUUAGUAUAGAUCUAAUGCUUGCGAGUACUUUGGAUGAGUACUCACGAUUGCUUUGCUACCCCCUUUUCCCCCUUCUUCUUCUUUCCGGUUGAUGCAACCAGAUGGUGGAUCCUUGGAGCCAGAUGCCACCGCCAACGGAUACUACUAGAUGGAGGCCGCCGAAGACCAGGAGUAGUUAGGAGGUCCCAGGCAGGAGGCCUUGCCUCUUCAAUCGUGUUGCUUUUGUGCUAGCCUUCUUAAGGCAUCAUUGCUAACCUUAUGUCUGUACUCAGAUAUUGUUGCUUCCACUGACUCUUGUGUAUCGAGCUAUGUAUUCGAGCCCUCGCGGUCCCUGGCUUGUAAUAUAAAGCUUGUAUUGUUUUAUUUGUGUCUAGAGUUGUGUUGUUAUAUCUUCCAGUGAGUUCCUAAUCUUGAUCGUACACAUUUG